GACGAACGCUGGCGGCGUGCUUAAUACAUGCAAGUCAACUUGACUUUAGAUAGCAAUAUCGAAAAGUAGGGUGGCGCACGGGUGCGUAACGCGUAGGUAAUCUGCCCUGAGGUCUGACAUAACCCGUCGAAAGGCGGGCUAACAUCAGAUGAUAUAUAAUCACGACAUCGUGGAAAUAUCAAAUCUUCGGAGCCUUGGGAUGAGCCCGCGUCUGAUUAGGUAGUUGGCGGAGUAAUAGCCCACCAAGCCUACGAUCAGUAGCUGGUCUGAGAGGAUGAUCAGUCACACUGGAACUGAGACACGGUCCAGACUCCUACGGGAGGCAGCAGUAAGGAAUAUUGCUCAAUGGGGGAAACCCGUAGAAGCAGCAACG
rnacentral:rRNA from 1 species